ACAGUCUGAAGGCCACGUUGCUCGUCACCCUCUGAGAUUCUGCAUCUUAUUCUUUGCGAGCGGGCUAAGGUCUGAGAAUUAUAUGUUCUCCUCGAUUUGUCCUAGCUGGACAGGACGAUAACAAGUCCAACGACGCAUCAGAAAAACAUCUGACGGUCUCUGGCUUUCGGGCUCCUGGUGAUCUCUUCGACAGAGUGAAGGAAUGGGACUGUCUGGAUCUGGAAAACGUCGUGAGAACUGGAUGGCUUUGAAGCGUUGCAUCGGCUCUGGGAUGGCAUCUAUCGCGUUCGACACUCGGCUCUUGGAAAACCAGUCGUAUUUUACGACAGAUUCCUGGCUCGGACGAGUUGCAGAAGUAGACCGGGUUUGAAUGGAAGCUCUGCCUUUUCAUGUUCUUUAAAACAUGAUCGCUUCUACACCGAGCUACUUUGAUCAGCUGAUUUGAUUGGUAGCUCUAUCAUCCAUGAUAUGUGUGUAGCGCACAUGUUUCCCGCGCAUGGCCCAUAUAUGCUCUCGUUACCUUCCGUACGCUCUGAGUGUACGCGGCCGAGAUUCCAUUUAGCGAUGGGGGUCUACUUAAUACCGUCUGCUCCCGGGGUGGAUGGUCGCAACUCGUCUGUAGACGUACGAGGAUGAGGUCCAUUUCAUGGAAGGGCCUUUCAACCACCAGCCGUCCUUGAGUGCAAUUCGUGGCUCGUGCGAUGACGCUUCGAAAGAGGCUAGCACGAAACUCAAUUCAGACUACUCUUUGACUGU
rnacentral:RNase_P_RNA from 2 species